GAUUUGUUGAAGGAAUGGCCCCUGUGUUUUCAAGAUCUGCUUGGCAAUGUUCUUGGCAUUUGAUACAGAACGAUCUAGUUCACGGAUGGGGGAUGGACAUGAAACUGGGAUAUUGUUCACAGGUAAACUCAUUGUCUAGUUUAUUUUUUGAAUGAAUUUCUGUAUGGCAUUCUGAUUGGAGUUUUAUUUUUUGGGCAGGGAGAUAGAACAAAAAAAGUUGGUAUAGUAGACCGUGAAUAUGUGUUUCAUAAGGGUAUUCAAAGUUUGGGUGGUUUAUCUAAUAAAAAGGUCAUUAGCCUAAACAUAUAUUUUCUCCUUUUCUUUCAA